CCCUUAGAUGUUCUGGGCCGCACGCGCGCUACACUGAUGCAUUCAACGAGUCGAUCCUUGCUCGAAAGAGCCGGGUAAUCUUUUGAAAUUGCAUCGUGAUGGGGCUUGCGGGAUGCAACUACCCGCACCAACGAGGAAUUCCUAGUAAACGCAAGUCAUCAGCUUGCAUUGAUUACGUCCCUGCCCUUUGUACACACCGCCCGUCGCUCCUACCGAUUGAACGAUCCGAUGAAAACUGUGGAUUGAGAGUCUGAGUGGGUUCGCCUACCUCAACUUUCGAGAAGCGGUUUAAAUCUUAUCGUUUAGAGGAAGGAGAAGUCGUAACA
rnacentral:rRNA from 1 species